GUCGGCUCUCCUACCUAGCCGACAAGCUUGGCGGCGUGGAGCGAGGGGAUGGCCGACGAGGUCUCUCUUCUCAGUCCUCCCUCUCCUUUCCCUUCUGGUGCAGAGCACGUGUAGGCCCUACCUAACGAGGAACAUGUGAAGUUGUGACCCAAAUUGACUAUGUGAUCUUGAAGAGUUGUGUGAUUAGACGACGUGGAUAUAAAUAUUUGGUUUUCGGUGUUGAGGUAAACGCCUCCUCUGUUGAAAAAGAGUACACAGACUCUCGUCUGGAUUCUGGAUCUGGAUCUGGAUCUGAUCCAACUCCCACCCAACUCUCCAAGUACGGCAGCAGCACUGGCUACUGCGGAGGAGGCGUUGCGACUUGCGAGUGGCGGAGGACUAGGAAGUCGCCUCCGCCUCCGCUGCAGACACACUGGCGAUGGCUUCCUCCUUCGCCGCCGUCUUCUUCAGCAGCGCCUUCGCUGCCUGCUUCGCUGAGGUGUGCACCAUUCCUCUCGACACAGCCAAAGUGCGGCUUCAGCUGCAAAAGAAAGCAGCCCUAGCUACAGGCGGAGGAGGAGGGACCACUGGAGGAAUGCUGGGCACAAUAAUGUGCAUCGCAAGGGAGGAAGGGGUGGCCGCGCUUUGGAACGGCAUCAUCCCUGGCCUUCACCGCCAGUGCGUCUAUGGCGGACUCCGCAUCGCCUUGUAUGAGCCUGUCAGUGAAAGCCUUCUUUAUCCGAGACGGAGAUACUGUUGCUGGUGGUGUCAGUUUAUUUGCUAAGAUCCUUGCUGCUCUUAUGACAGCCAACCAGUUUACAUCCAAAUUUCAUGUGUUAAGGACUUAAGGUAGGUGCACUAUGCACAAGUAAAUAUACUCUUAUAUUAAUUACCGUUCUAUAUAUUCAUAGGUGUCAUAGCAAUUGUUGUGGCAAAUCCAACUGAUCUUGUCAAAGUGAGAUUGCAAGCUGAUGGAAAGGCCACCACUGUCAAGAGGCACUAUUCUGGAGCCCUCAAUGCGUAUGCUACCAUAAUCAGACAGGAAGGUAUUGGAGCUUUGUGGACUGGCCUCGGUCCAAACAUAGCACGCAAUGCUAUAAUUAAUGCUACCGAGUUGGCCAGCUACGACCAACUCAAACAGCUGGACUUGGUGCUGGAUUUUUUGCUGUUUGCAUUGGCUCUCCAGUGGAUGUGGUGAAAUCAAGAAUGAUGGGUGACGCAACGUACAAGAGUACACUAGACUGUUUUGCAAAGACAUUAAAGAAUGAUGGACUUCCUGCUUUUUAUAAAGGGUUCAUUGCAAACUUUUGCCGCAUUGGGUCAUGGAAUGUGAUAAUGUUUUUAACACUGGAGCAGGUAAGAAGAUCAAUUCUGUAAGUCUGCUGCACUGCACUGCAAGCCAAGGAUCUAUCAUGCAAGUGAACAGCAGGAGCAGGACUGAAUCGAUGCUUGAUUUAGCUGUAGCUCCUGAGUCCACUUUAUAGUGCUGUUUGCUGAAGGCCACAUAUGUCUAGGAUUAGAUUUGUUUUGUACAGGACAAUGCGUUCUAAUUAAACCCAUCAAUUCAGCAGAGGACAACAUCAACAGAGUCAUUUGUGCAGAGAUGAUUGGCCAUAACAUGUCAUUGUACUGUCUGAGCAAUUUUUUAAUUUUACCAAAAAUGAAACUCACAAAAUCUAAUGCAAAUAUAGGUUACUCUUGGUAGUAAUUUCAUGUAUCCGAGGUUUGUAAACAAUAUGAAAGGAAGUUGUGACUUAAACUUGCUUUUGCAUCAUCUAUUGAGCGCGAGUUUCUCGAA